ACAACAAUAAUGAUAAUAUUGUUAAUAAUGAUAAAUUAAUUAUUAAUACUAUGGGUAUUUUGGUAAAUUGAUUCUCAUUACUAUUCCUUAUUCCCAUUUAUUUUGCCAAGUAAACACAUCAAUGGCAUUCCAGCACAUUUCCAUUCUCAUUUAUUUUUGCCAAAUAAACAUUGAAAUCUUAUUUCCAUUCCUCAUUCUCAUUACAGUUCAUUCUCAUUCUCAGCUCAUUCUCAUUCCACUCCAUUCCAAUUUCAUGAAAUAAACACACCAUAAAAGUAUUAUCUUACUGGUAACCCAUGCCCGCACAGUGCUCAGGUUCUAAAAUAAUUUGGAGAAUGCUGCAGUAGUCCCUCAAUGUGUAUGAGCUACUCAAACAUAAACAUGUUUACUUUGGUGCACUUAAUUCAUCAACAUCAAGUUGCAAAUCCAAAUGCGAGAUAUAUUUGUGAUUAACACUAAAAAGUGUACGUGUAAUAAGGAUAAAAUUAUUAGUUUUUCACUUAAAGUGUUGAUUAAUGCGCGUAUAACUUAUAAAUUAUAUGAAUGCUCCCCAAAUAAAUUUUUCUGUUAAAUUAAUUCGCAAUAUGUUAAUUUUUACCUUAUAAAUAUUUUUUAGGAAUAAAUUGGAAUUGAAAGCGUGAACAAAUAAGGAUUACUGGAGCGAUUUGGAAGCAUUAUUGAGGAGAUGUAAAUAAAUAAAACAUAAUAAAAAAAUAAAAAAGAAUAAAAAAAUUAAAAAAAAAAAGAACAAAAAAACAAAAACCAAAUUGUUUGGCUUCUCGUGAUGGCCACUUGACCAUUACACAUUUCAAUGUACAU
rnacentral:lncRNA from 1 species